GACGCGCUCGCCCUUCCUGCCCUCGGGAGAGAUCGUUUCCAGGAAUUGAGGGGCUGCGGAGGCAGGAAAUCCUGCGGGGCCCCGUGCGGGGAGCGGCCGCAACGGCAUCACCUCCGCGCGCAGGAGGGUGGGGUCCCCGGCCGCCUCCUCCCUGCUCCGUGUGAGCAUCCGCGCGAUGAAAUGUGGAAUCCGACGGUGGGAUCAAGGGUCUUGGACUCAAUUUUCCACCCUGGGUCAUCCUGUGCUGUUGAGGAGGAUUUGGGAGGACUACGGGGCCAGGUGUUGAAUCUAUGAGCAGAGAUGGAGUGCCAUUAUCCUUCCAAGUGAACAUGGAAUAGAUGGGGAGAAGCUAUGCUUACAACCAGCUUGGACAAGCCUUUGAAGAAUACCCUCCAAAGAACACUGGAAAG